CGUAGGUGGCGAGCGUUGUCCGGAAUUAUUGGGCGUAAAGGGAGCGCAGGCGGGAAGGUAAGUCUAUCUUAAAAGUGCGGGGCUUAACCCCGUGAGGGGAUGGAAACUAUCUUUCUUGAGUGCAGGAGAGGAAAGCGGAAUUCCUAGUGUAGCGGUGAAAUGCGUAGAUAUUAGGAGGAACACCAGUGGCGAAGGCGGCUUUCUGGACUGUAACUGACGCUGAGGCUCGAAAGCGUGGGGAGCGA
rnacentral:rRNA from 1 species